AAUGCUUGAACAUUUUCUUCAAUUAAGAUAUCAUCAGAACAACUGACAGAAAAAACAGCAAACAUCGUGAACAAAAAAACCAUUCGGAUUCAAGUUAUUAUUCAAAUUAUAACUGUGAUUCCGAGGACGAGAUUGUGCUGGAUGGUCAUGGGCAGCUGUACGUCAAUGGUUGAAGCAGGUCUAAGCAGGUUGAUUCGCCACCGUGACUCCAGAAACAAGUUGGGAAAAAUGCGUACCUCUGUGGUGCUAUCAGUUAUUACAGAACAAUUCACGUGACGCCAAAAAUUGAGGCUAGUUUUGAAAGAGACCCUGGUAAUAACUGCGAACUGAAUGCGAUUAAAGCGAUGUGCCCGGUGUUUUAAUUCGAACAUCUUAGAAGAGAGUUGGCGGAGAUUAUGGCGCCUUACCUAGUCAUAAUUACGUUUGAAAGAAAGUUUUGAAGCACUAUUGCAGUGUUUAAAACAAUUUCCCCUGAUUGACAGAUUUUCUUGCUUUGACAAACUGAACUGUGUUCGUGGAAUAAUCUGCUCGAAGGAUUUCGUUAACGAGGUAUCGAACGAUGCUAAUGGCUCGAAAGUGCCGAGACACGUUAAUCGUGGAAGAAAUGGUCAAGGAGGCGGAAGUGGUUAUGUGCCCAUGAAUGCCUCGUCAGAGGAGCAAGUAGUGAACCAGAGGAAACUCAAAAGAGAACUGGAAAAGGCAUUCGAAGGAGUUGCAAAGAAGUUGGGCAAGGGCUUCAACAAGGUUAAGGUCAGUGAUGGAAUUUCGACGGAAUUGUAUCUCCAAGUACAGGCUUUUUCGUGGAUGUGUGACACAGAGGAAACAACAAAGAACUGCCUCCAUUUUGGAAGAGUGAAAAGAAAACGGGCUACAAAAAUAUAGUGACUGAAGUUAAACAACAACAUGCGCCGGCGCCUCUUUGUGGAAGAAUUCUAGCAGAA